rnacentral:rRNA from 1 species
UGGCGGCGUGGUUAAGACAUGCAAGUCGAACGGGAGAAUUGCUAGCUUGCUAAUAAUUCUCUAGUGGCGCACGGGUGAGUAACACGUGAGUAACCUGCCUCUUAGUGGGGGAUAGCCCUGGGAAACCGGGAUUAAUACCGCAUACGAUUGAAAGAUCAAAGCAGCAAUGCGCUAGGAGAUGGGCUCGCGGCCUAUUAGUUAGUUGGUGAGGUAACGGCUCACCAAGGCGAUGACGGGUAGCCGGUCUGAGAGGAUGUCCGGCCACACUGGAACUGAGACACGGUCCAGACACCUACGGGUGGCAGCAGUCGAGAAUCAUUCACAAUGGGGGCAACCCUGAUGGUGCGACGCCGCGUGGGGGAAUGAAGGUCUUCGGAUUGUAAACCCCUGUCAUGUGGGAGCAAAUUAAAAAGAUAGUACCACAAGAGGAAGAGACGGCUAACUCUGUGCCAGCAGCCGCGGUAAUACAGAGGUCUCAAGCGUUGUUCGGAAUCACUGGGCGUAAAGCGUGCGUAGGCUGUUUCGUAAGUCGUGUGUGAAAGGCAGGGGCUCAACCCCUGGAUUGCACAUGAUACUGCGAGACUAGAGUAAUGGAGGGGGAACCGGAAUUCACGGUGUAGCA